GUGGGCUGCAAAAGAAGUAGGUAGUUUAACCUUCGGGGGGACGCUUACCACUUUGUGGUUCAUGACUGGGGUGAAGUCGUAACAAGGUAGCGCUAGGGGAACCUGGCGCUGGAUCACCUCCUUAAACAAUGAU
rnacentral:rRNA from 1 species